rnacentral:rRNA from 1 species
AUGGUCAAGUAAUGAAGUGCACAUGGUGGAUGCCUUGGCAGUCAGAGGCGAUGAAAGACGUGAUAGCCUGCGAUAAGCGUCGGUGAGGUGGCAAUAUCCUGUGACCCGGCGAUUUCUGAAUGGGGAAACCCACCUAAGAUAACUUAGGUAUCAUAAUUUAUUUUAUGAGGCGAACCGGGAGAAGUGAAACAUCUCAGUACCCCGAGGAAAAGACAUCAAUUGAGAUUCCCCAAGUAGCGGCGAGCGAACGGGGAGUAGCCGAUUAGAUUUGUAGUAGCAAAAUGGCGUGGGAAAGCCAACCAUAGUAGGUGAUAGUCCUGUAUGCGAAACUGCAAUUUUAACAUAUUAAGUAGGGCGGAACACGAGAAAUUCUGUCUGAAGAUGGGGGGACCAUCCUCCAAGGCUAAAUACUCCUGACUGACCGAUAGUGAACCAGUACCGUGAGGGAAAGGCGAAAAGAACCCCUGUUAGGGGAGUGAAAUAGAACCUGAAACCGUGUGCAUACAAGCAGUCGGAGCGGACUUGUUCCGUGACGGCGUACCUUUUGUAUAAUGGGUCAGCGACUUAUAUUCUGUAGCAAGCUUAACCGUGUAGGGGAGGCGUAGGGAAACCGAGUCUUAAUAGGGCGUUUUAGUUGCAGGGUAUAGACCCGAAACCGAGUGAUCUAUCCAUGAGCAGGUUGAAAGUGCCGUAACAGGCACCGGAGGACCGAACCCACUCCCGUUGAAAAGGUAGGGGAUGACUUGUGGAUAGGGGUGAAAGGCUAAUCAAACUCGGUGAUAGCUGGUUCUCCCCGAAAGCUAUUUAGGUAGCGCCUCGGACGAAUACCUUGGGGGGUAGAGCACUGUUUCGGCUAGGGGGUCAUCCCGACUUACCAAACCGAUGCAAACUCCGAAUACCCAAGAGUACUAUCCGGGAGACAGACGGCGGGUGCUAACGUCCGUCGUCAAGAGGGAAACAACCCAGACCGCCAGCUAAGGCCCCAAAUUCCUAGUUAAGUGGGAAACGAUGUGGGAAGGCACAGACAGCUAGGAGGUUGGCUUAGAAGCAGCCACCCUUUAAAGAAAGCGUAAUAGCUCACUAGUCGAGUCGGCCUGCGCGGAAGAUGUAACGGGGCUCAAACUAGGAGCCGAAGCUGCGGAUUUAAUUGUUUCAAUUAAGUGGUAGGGGAGCGUUGUGUAAGCCUGUGAAGGUGUAUCGUAAGGUAUGCUGGAGGUAUCACAAGAGCGAAUGCUGACGUGAGUAACGACAAAACGGGUGAAAAGCCCGUUCGCCGGAAGACCAAGGGUUCCAGUCCAACGUUAAUCGGGGCUGGGUGAGUCGACCCCUAAGGCGAGGCCGAAAGGCGUAGUCGAUGGGAAAUCGGUUAAUAUUCCGAUACUUGUUUAUGAUGCGAUGGAGGGACGGAGAAGGUUAUGUCAGCCUGGCGUUGGUUGUCCAGGUGGAAGGAUGUAGGUAGGUUUAGUAGGCAAAUCCGCUAGACUAUUACUGAGAUCUGAUAGCAAGCCAGUUUACUGGCGAAGUGGCAAAUACCCUGCUUCCAGGAAAAGCUUCUAAGCGAUAGUCAUAAACAAAUCGUACCCGAAACCGACACAGGUGGUCAGGUAGAGAAUACCAAGGCGCUUGAGAGAACUCUGCUGAAGGAACUAGGCAAAAUGGUACCGUAACUUCGGGAGAAGGUACGCUGCUGAUGGUGAUAAGACUUGCUCUUUGAGCUGUUGGCAGUCGCAGAUACCAGGCUGCUGCAACUGUUUAUUAAAAACACAGCACUCUGCAAACACGAAAGUGGACGUAUAGGGUGUGAUGCCUGCCCGGUGCUGGAAGGUUAAUUGAUGGGGUUAGCGUAUGCGAAGCUCUUGAUCGAAGCCCCAGUAAACGGCGGCCGUAACUAUAACGGUCCUAAGGUAGCGAAAUUCCUUGUCGGGUAAGUUCCGACCUGCACGAAUGGCAUAAUGAUGGCAGCGCUGUCUCCAGCAGAGACUCAGUGAAAUCGAAAUCGCAGUGAAGAUGCUGUGUACCCGCGGCUAGACGGAAAGACCCCGUGAACCUUUACUACAGCUUUACAUUGAACUUUGACCUAACUUGUGUAGGAUAGGUGGGAGGCUUUGAAGUGGCGACGCCAGUUGCCAUGGAGCCAACCUUGAAAUACCACCCUGGUUAUGUUGGGGUUCUAACUUAGAUAUAACAGUAUCAAGGACAAUGUAUGGUGGGUAGUUUGACUGGGGCGGUCUCCUCCUAAAGAGUAACGGAGGAGUACGAAGGUGCGCUCAGAACGGUCGGAAAUCGUUCAAAGAGUAUAAAGGCAAAAGCGCGCUUAACUGCGAGACCCACAAGUCGAGCAGGUACGAAAGUAGGUCUUAGUGAUCCGGUGGUUCUGUAUGGAAGGGCCAUCGCUCAACGGAUAAAAGGUACUCUGGGGAUAACAGGCUGAUACCGCCCAAGAGUUCAUAUCGACGGCGGUGUUUGGCACCUCGAUGUCGGCUCAUCUCAUCCUGGGGCUGAAGCAGGUCCCAAGGGUAUGGCUGUUCGCCAUUUAAAGAGGUACGCGAGCUGGGUUUAGAACGUCGUGAGACAGUUCGGUCCCUAUCUACCGUGGGCGUUGGAAAUUUGAGAGGAUCUGCUCCUAGUACGAGAGGACCAGAGUGGACGAACCUCUGGUGUUCCGGUUGUUACGCCAGUAGCACUGCCGGGUAGCUAUGUUCGGAUGGGAUAACCGCUGAAAGCAUCUAAGCGGGAAGCCCACCUCAAGAUAAGAUUUCCCUAAAGAGCCGUUGUAGACUACGACGUUGAUAGGUUGGGUGUGGAAGUGUAGUGAUACAUGUAGCUAACCAAUACUAAUUGCUCGUUUGGCUUGACCAUA